CAAUUAAACAAUAACAAACAACACCCUCUGCACGUGACGCACAUGAGUCUACAGGUGUCCCCUUAAAGCCUGAACUCUGAACUCAGUCUGAAACAUGAUCAGGAACUGAUCACAGACUUCUAUUGAUCAGUCAUCACUAACCUUACCUCACGUGGGAGCCCAGACUCGAUGCUGAUCCGGGUCCAGGUGUGUCUGCGUCCUCUGUCCUCGUGUCAGCUCCAUCAUUCAUGCACGUGGACCGUCCUCAGUCCUCUCCUGCGUCCUCACUCUGUCAGAUACAUGAGCUCCAUGUUCCCAAACUCAGUGUGUGAGAGUGAUUGAUGAAGAGGAGGAGGGAGACCUUCCCCGAGCCUCAGUGAUCCUUCAGCCCGCCCGAGGGGACCAGGGAGCCGGGGAGCCGCGGAGCCGAGGAGCGGGAGAGUCUGCUGCAGGUGACCGAGAGGAGAUGGAGGCGCGCGGCGUGAGCGGAUAGGGAACCCCGCUGGAUUAUAUCUGUGUGCAAAGUGAGCAACCUCAAGACCAGGACCAGGACCAGGACCCUCUUCAGUCUCUUCGCACCUGUCGGAUUAUCCUCUCUGACCAUGAACGUGUCUCCUCCGGAUCGCAGGAAAAACAUGCGCGAGCUGGCUCUGGAGAUCGGCAUCCGAGUUCUGCUCUUCGGAGUUUUCGUGUGAGUACAAAAACCCUGAACCUGCAGAGUUUUCAGGACCCAGUCCGGCUCUGUGAUCCCAUGCAGUUAGAGGAGGGGGUCUGGUAGUUGAUGCGGGUCUGCGGAUGGAGCGGGGCGGACUGACGCUGCGUUAACAGGUUGCACAAAACAAGUUCUCCUGCAGAAUCCACGGGGUGUGCAUGCUCUGUGUUUGAUUUAGAGACUCAGCUUUGACCCCCCCUCUGUGACAGACAGGGACAGGAUCGAGGGAACCCCAGCAUUAAUAUGAAUCUGGAUUAGAGGAGCUGGUUGUGUGUUUUAUUGAUGUGCCUCAGGUGCUGCAGCUUGUGAUCAGAGUCAGACAUCCUCUCCUGUAAAUAACUAUACCUGCACAGUGUGUGUGUGUAUCAUCAGCUAUCUCUGUACCUGCAGAGUGUGUGUGUUAUCACCUAUCUCUGUACCUGCAGAGUGUGUGUUAUCAUGUAUUCCUGUACCUGGUGCAGCUGUAUAUGUGAUGUCACUGUAACAGGGGUUUGCAGAGACAGGAGCUGCUGCACCUUCACUGAAGAGCUGCAACAAUUAAUCCAUUAAUCUGAUGAUAAAAUGACCUUAAAGUAUCUCUGCUGAGUGUUUAUGAUAUCUUUAAGGUGAAACUUCAAACACUGGCUGACAGGUUGUCAGGGUUUGCUGCUUUUUGUCAUCUCAUUAACUGGAAUUCUACAUUUCCUGAUCUUCACUUUGGUCUCUGAAGGAUUGUGAGGAACAUUUUUAACAACUGUGAACAGAUUAAGGGAUAUAAAAUAAUCAUGAGUAGCAGAUCUUGUUCUCACUGUUUGAUAAAAGAGCACAGACUGAAAUAAGCGUCAGACCUCCUCAUGUAGUUCUUAAUAUGUGUGUGUGUGUGUGUGUGUGUGUGUGUGUGUGUGUGUGUGUGUGUCUGCAGGGCUCACACUGCCUCAGUUUGUUGUUGUGUAUCAGUGCUGGAGGCCACGUAAAAUACAGUUUCACGCAGUAUCAUCAUCCUCAUCAGCCGCUAACAGCUCUGUCACCGAGGCUGCAGUCACACUGAUCUCUGUAAUGAAUGAGUUUUAUACCCUCCCCACACACACACACACACACACACACACACACACACACACACACACUCACACAGGGCGGAGGCAGAUAAACUGUCAGAUACAGAGUCACAUCGCUAAACUGGAUCUGCUUCACACCUCCAGCAGCGUCUCUAAACUGAGAAGCUGACACUGACAUUUUCCAACAGCUCAUUUCACCCAGAGAGGAAAACCUCCACAGAUCCUCAUGAUUCAACGAAAAACCAAAACCUGCAGUUCCUCCAGUGUCCACUAGAGUGUGUCUCCUGCAGUGAGUCAGUCCCCAUAGAGCCCCAUGUUAAAAUGUUACAGCAGAAAUAAACAUGUUUACAGCCUGGUACAAAAACAGUUUGGGUCUCUAUAGCUCAUUUCUCUCUUCAUGACAACUGUACGGCUGAAUUUAUAAACCCCUCACCUGUUGACCUGCUAUGUUAUAAACACAAACGACUGUCAGAGUCAUUACGAGCUCUUUAUUCCUUCCUUGUUUCCGCACUCAGUGAUGAAGAGCGUGAGCGUGCAGCAGCAGAUGUUGAGCUGGUGACACAGUUUAAAUAUCUGAGGACAUGAUUGAUGAUAAUCUCACAAACAUUGAUGCAGUUUGUCUAAAGGAACAUCAGCAGGCGGGUUUUUAUUGCAAGCUGAGGAGUUUCAAUGUUGACCUUGAUUUUAUGAGAUGUUUAUUGAGUCUGUUUAUCUGCUGCUUUGGAUCUCUUACUCUGAAAAACACUGAGAGAGUGUGGAGUUCAAUUUCACCGAAUGUCAUGAGACUUUUUGUCUCCUAUAUAUUUCUGUGUUCAUUGCAUGUAUGAGACAGUGUGUGUUUUGUCUUGUUUUGCACUGUGAGGUGUAAACUAAUUGCCCCUUGGGGUAAUAAAGUUAACCUUGUACCA